GGGAUAAUGCAUCUGCAUUGGAAUUGAUUUUCCCAGGUUUAUAGACCAUCUCAUAAUCGUAUUCGUUUAAUCUAAUACGCCAUCUCAUGAUACGGGAAGUGGGAUCUUUUACGUUGUGCAGCCAAAUCAGCGGUCGAUGCGUCAUUAAGGGUCCGAGAUGCAUACGCAAUUGGGAGAUCCUUUCCGAUCUGACCCUGACUCAAUACAGCUCCUACUGCAUAAUUAGAAGCAUCAGUUGUUACGAGGAAUGGCUGUUGAAAGUUGGGAAAUUGGAGCAACGGCUCCGAACAAAUGAUAUCACGUAAACUCUCGAAAGCGAAUUUGACAUCUUUACUCCAGACAAAAGGAAAUGACUUAACAGCCAUGAUCUUCCCGGGGUCUGGUUUCACUCCUUUGGCAGAGAUAACGUGACCCAAAUAGGCAACUUCUCGUCGCAAGAAUCGACAUUUCUCGGGUUUGUAACGUUAAAACCGGCAUUCUGCAACCGAGCCAAGAGAAUUCUCAAUUUACGAGUAUGCUCUUCCAAAGAAUCAGCAUAUAUGACGAUGUCGUCCAUAUAUACAAAAAGCUCGACUCCUUGUAAACCAACCAAAACCAAAUCCAUGCACCUCUGAAACGUGGCUGGAGCAUUUUUAAGCCCGAAGGGCAUAUUA